rnacentral:rRNA from 1 species
GACAGCAGUAGCCGCGGGAAUACGUAGGUGGCAAGCGUUGUCCGGAAUUAUUGGGCGUAAAGGGCUCGCAGGCGGUUUCUUAAGUCUGAUGUGAAAGCCCCCGGCUCAACCGGGGAGGGUCAUUGGAAACUGGGAAACUUGAGUGCAGAAGAGGAGAGUGGAAUUCCACGUGUAGCGGUGAAAUGCGUAGAGAUGUGGAGGAACACCAGUGGCGAAGGCGACUCUCUGGUCUGUAACUGACGCUGAGGAGCGAAAGCGUGGGGAGCGAACAGGAUUAGAGACCCGAGUAGUCCCUGUCUCUUAUAC